rnacentral:rRNA from 1 species
AUUGAACGCUGGCGGCAGGCCUUACACAUGCAAGUCGAACGAGUGGCGGACGGGUGAGUAAUGUCUGGGAAACUGCCUGAUAGAGGGGGAUACCUACUGGAAACAGUAGCUAAUACCGCAUAACCUCGGAUGUGCCCAGAUGGGAUUAGCUAGUAGGUGGGGUAACGGCUCACCUAGGCCACGAUCCCUAGCUGGUCUGAGAGGAGGACCAGCCACACGGGGACUGCGACACGGUCCAGACUCCUACGGGAGGCAGCAGUGGAGAAUUUUGGACAAUGGGCGAAAGCCUGAUGCAGCCAUGCCGCGUGUAUGAAGAAGGCCUUCGGGUUGUAAAGUACUUUGAGCAGAGAGGCGUUAACCGCAGAAGAAGCACCGGCUAACUACGUGCGAGCAGCCGCGGUAAUUC